rnacentral:rRNA from 1 species
UACGGAGGGUGCGAGCGUUGUCCGGAAUUACUGGGCGUAAAGGGCGCGUAGGCGGCGCGGGAAGUCCGUGGUGAAAGCCCGAGGCUCAACUUCGGGUCGGCCAUGGAUACUCCUGGGCUUGAGCACUGUAGAGGCAGGUGGAAUUCCGGGUGUAGCGGUGGAAUGCGUAGAGAUCCGGAAGAACACCGGUGGCGAAGGCGGCCUGCUGGGCAGUAGCUGACGCUGAGGCGCGACAGCGUGGGGAGCAAACAGG